rnacentral:rRNA from 1 species
GAUGAACGCUGGCGGCGUGCCUAAUACAUGCAAGUCGAGCGAACGGACGAGAAGCUUGCUUCUCUGAUGUUAGCGGCGGACGGGUGAGUAACACGUGGAUAACCUACCUAUAAGACUGGGAUAACUUCGGGAAACCGGAGCUAAUACCGGAUAAUAUUUUGAACCGCAUGGUUCAAAAGUGAAAGACGGUCUUUCUGUCACUUAUAGAUGGAUCCGCGCUGCAUUAGCUAGUUGGUAAGGUAACGGCUUACCAAGGCAACGAUGCAUAGCCGACCUGAGAGGGUGAUCGGCCACACUGGAACUGAGACACGGUCCAGACUCCGACGGGAGGCAGCAGUAGGGAAUCUUCCGCAAUGGGGGAAAGCCUGACGGAGCAACGCCGCGUGAGUGAUGAAGGUCUUCGGAUCGUAAAACUCUGUUAUUAGGGAAGAACAUAUGUGUAAGUAACUGUGCACAUCUUGACGGUACCUAAUCAGAAAGCCACGGCUAACUACGUG